AUGUCCUGAGCCCUUGAUGUCCUGCAGAGGAAGGAGGAGUAUGUCCUCAAAUUCCUGGCUGCAGGAACCCACUUGGGAGGCACCAACCUCGACUUCCAGAUGGAGCAGUACAUCUACAAAAGGAAAAGCCAUGGCGUCUACAUCAUCAACCUCAAGAGGAACUGGGAGAAGCUCCUGCUGGUAGCAAGCAUAGGCCAUUGUGGCUAUCGAGAACCCUGCAGACGUCAGCGUAAUCUCCUCCUGGAACACUGGCCAGAGGGCUGUGCUGAAGUUUGCUGCUGCCACUGGAGCUACUCCCAUCACUGGCCGCUUCACUCCCGGCAUCGUCACUAACCAGAUCCAGGCCACCUCCCAGGAGCCGCGGCUCCUGAUAGUGACAGAUCCUAGGGCCAACAAUCAGCCCCUCAUGGAGCAAUCAUACAUGAACAUGCCUACCAUCGCUCUGUGCAACACGCACUCUCCUUUGCGCUACAUGGACAAUGCCAUCCUGUGCAACAUCAAGGCAGCCCACUCCGUGGUUUGAUGUAAUGAAUGCUGGCCCAGAGGGUUCUGUGCAUGAGUGGCACUAUCUCCCGUGAACACCCAUGGGAGGUCAUGCUGAUCUCUACUUCUAACGUGAUCCUAAGUAGAUUGAAAAAGAAGAACAGGCUGUGGCUGAAAAGGUUGUGAGCAAGGAGGAGUUCCAGGGUGAAUGGAGUGCCCCCACUUCUGAGUUCAUGGCUACCCAACUUGAGGUUGCAGACUACUCAGAGGGUGUGCAGGUGCCUCCUGUGCCUAUCCAACUGUUCCCCACUAAAGACUGGAGCACCCAGCCAGCCACUGAAGAGUGGUCUGCGGCCCCCACGGCCCAGGCCGCUGAAUGGGUAGGAACAACCACCAAGUAA